GGUACGAGUCUCUUUUCUAUAAUAUAUGCUUUGUUUGUUUCAACAUUUAUUUUAUUUUAGUGAUAACAAUCCAUAAUUAUAUUCUUCUUUGGAAUUUUUUGAGUGAACAACAAUUCCAACUUGUUUGUGUUUGAUUGGUCGUUAGGUCUUACCCAGUUUGGAGGAAUUGAGAUUAAGCAAGAACAGGGAUAUCGCAAAGAUAUGGCAGGGUCCGUUUCCAGACUAUCUUUCAAACAAACUCAAAGUUCUUGCGAUUGAGAAUGAUGAAUCAGAAGUUUUACCACCUGAUUUACUCGAGAGAUUUCACAAUCUGGUCAAUCUCGAACUAGCUUACGGUUCUUACAAAGAGUUAUUCUCAAAUGAAGGGCAGGUUGAGACACAUGUCGGAAAGCUCGCUCAGAUAAGAUAUUUAACACUGGAGCAUCUCAAUGAUCUAAAGCACCUGUGGCUGUGGGAACAAAACUCCAAAUUGAACACGGUUUUUCAAAAUCUUGAAACUCUAUCUGCACACUUUUGUCUUAAUCUGACAAAUCUAAUGCCUUCCUCUGCCUCUUUUCGGUGUCUGAAAGAACUGAGGGUAUGCGCUUGCGAGCAUCUGAUGAACUUGGUAGCAUCCUCGGCAGCAAAAAAUCUAGUGCAACUCGUAAGGAUGACGGUAAGGGAAUGCAAUAAAAUUACCGAGUUGGUGGUAGCAAGCGAGGGAGAUGCAGCAAACGACGAGAUUAUAUUCCCCAAAUUGAUGUUCUUGAAGCUUCAUCGUCUACAAAGUCUCACAACCUUCUGCUCUGCAAACUACACUUUCAAAUUCCCAUCUUUAUUCUAUUUAUCAGUGCGUAAUUGCCCCAAGAUGAAGAUUUUCUGCGGAGGAGUCUUAAGCGCACCAAGAUUAGAAAGAGUGCUGCUAAAUGGUCGAAUUUGUUGGGACGGUGACCUCAAUACAACCAUACAACUGUCACAUUACAAAACGGUGCGUAUUCAUCAACCAAACCGUUUUUUGUUUUUUUCACUGGAGGAUUGUUUGUUUUGACACCAUAUUUGAGUGGACUACUUGAUUUAAAUUUUAUAAUUCAAUUUAAAUCAUUCUUUUAUCAAAAUUAAAAUUACAUAUAUAAUUGCAUAUUAUUAUAAUUAGAUAAUAUAAUAACAAAUAGUACAAAAUUAUUUAUAUAUCGUAAAAAAAAUUUCAAAAAAAGUAACAUUGUGCAUUUAAAUAGUUAAAAGAGACUACUAAUUUUAAUUAAUUAUUAAUCCGAUUUUCUUGUUUUAACACUAUAAAUAUUAUAUUUCAUUUGUUUACACAUUUCGAGGACAAAUUUUUUUUUUUGUAGGAGGGGAGAAUUGUAAUGCCACAAAUUUCCAUAAUAUUAAAUUAUGAAAAUUGGGCUUUCAUUGAGAAUUAUGGGUGGCCUAUAACCCUUAUUAAGAAAGGAAUACUAAUUAUAAAUAGAGGUUAUUUAUGAGAUAAUUUUGGAAAAGGGUUAUUUUUCCUAAUUAAAUAGGGUUUCUUAAGACUCCCUAUAAAUGCAUACUUUUUCCCCUUCCAUAACCCUAAGUCCACGACGUUUAUUCUUCUUCUCUGCCGAUCUUUACGCUUCUACCCAAAUCCUAGGAUUCAAACCUUUGUUUAGGAGAGAAUCAAAGCGAUGGAUAAGUUAUUCUCCAUAUUCUCAACAGAUUUCUAAUCACUCUAUCUAGGGUUUAUAUUGGCACGAUUCUAGAUGGUUAUAGAUCAUAAUGCAUGAUUUAGAAUGUAUUUAGGCUUUGUUUAGGGUUUUGAUUUAUUAUGAGUUUAGUUAAUCAAUCCUUAACGUAUUAAGCACAGGAUAAUUCUGGACAGCAUGAGUAUCUCGAAUUUAAACCUAUAUUUUCUGAACGAUUUUUCUCAUAAAAAUUAUAUUUCUGGAAACUAGACAUGUAGGGCUUCUUGAGUAAAUUUUAUUUCAUUAAAUUCGACUUCGUUUUCAAUUUUAUAUGUAUUUUCGAAAUAGAAACCACUGCACUGGAAAACUGCGAUUCCAGCAUUGUGAUCGGAUUCACAAGACUAUUUGUACCACCAAAUAAACUCGGAAAAUUCUGAAAGUUUAUAUGUAGGUUAAUAUAUGUGUCUAGGAUUCCCAGUUUUAAUUUCAUAAUUUUAUGAUUAGUAUUUUAUUUUAUAAAAAUCACAGAACCCGUUCUGUUUGGUUUAGAUUAUGUGAAAACAGUUUCGAAUUUGCUGAGAAAUAAAUAGUUUUGAAAAUGUUUUUGAUAUCGGAUCCUCUUGCAAAUUUUACAUGGGGUACUCAUGGAUGUCCAGAAUAGUUCCAUAGAAUAUUAUAUCAUUCUGAGUUUAGAUUAAGAGUUAAAUCCUAAGAAUCAGACCUGUACAGGUAUGAAUGAGAAAAUCAGAUUCUUAGAAUAAGUUAUUAAUUGUCAUAUCUUGUAUUUGUUUAAAGUGUUGAAGGUGAUUGAGGCUCUUAGAAGCUUAGAGGUGUGUUAAUUCAAAUUCAUUUGUUGAGGUAAGUAACUCCAUUCCUAGUAUACUGGAUAUGUAUAAGUAUUUUGAUAUUAUUAUUAUAAGUAUAAAUAUUUUUAUACUACUUAAAGGAUUGAUUGAUUUUGAUAACAAAAUUAGUCUUAUGCAAAUGUUUUCAAACCUAAAUUCUUUUUAACAGAGUAUUUUAUAAAUGCUUUUUAAUAUGUAAAUGAUUUUAUGACAUGACAACCUUUUAUGAUUUUAUCUUGAAAAUGUUAUGCAAGCCUAAAUUAUUGUUAUGAACUUUUAUAAAUCUGAUACAAAUGUUUUGUACCCAUGUAUGAUUUCGAUUAUUGAUGAUUGUAUGAGAUUCCUAAUGUUUUGGCUCAUUGUCCAUAGUUAUUCUGAUUCUGAUUCUGAUCGUAAUAUACGAUAUAUCUGUCUGGACCAGUACUGGGUUUCUGUUUGAGUGUGCACACGAUAUUCUGAUUUUGUUUCUGGCCGGGUCAUCGGGACUAUAGGUGACACUAUGUGACAUGAGCUAACCUUCUGUUUUCUAUAUAUGUAUUAUAUGAUUUGCUUCGUAAGUAAAUAUACUUUUAGAUAUUCUGAACUAUUAAGAAUUUAUGUUAUGUUAUCUUGAUAUAUCGUUUUAUGAAAUUUAUGGAUUACAAUAUAUGUUUUAAAUAAAAGAAGGCUUGCAAUAUUUUUAGUAUCGAUAGGUAUAGUGUGUUAGGAAUGGUUUUACUUACCGAGUUGACGGCUCACCCCUCGUCAUUACUUUUUUGUAGAUUAAGUUUCUUUUGAGAGGUGCGCUUAGCUUUGGAAUUAGUAAUUUUCCGUUUCCGUUUGCCGUUUGAAUAAGAGGAGGAAUAAACUUGUGUUUCUAUUUAGUUAUUUCUAUUAUGAACGUGUAAUUUGGAGUUUGAGACUUUUGUUAUUAUUUUUAUGUUCUCGGGAGAGAUUAUUUAGUAUUAGACAUUUGAAUUUGUGAAUUUAUUUGAAUAAGAAUUGGAGGUAUUUCAGUUUGAAACUUAUGAGUAAAGAUUAUGAUUUGUGAGUAACCUCCUUCUUCACGUGCUCCGCAUGUGUUAGAUUUGGGGUGUUACAAAAUAAUAGAAGAUUCUUUUUUUUUUUUUUCACAUUGCCUAAUCCUAUUUAAACCCACAUGAAAAUUGGGAUUACUAAUCCCAUGAAUUUAUGAUUAAAGUUUGAAUUUAGUCCAUUAGUCCAAUGCAAGUGAGCAUGACAAACAUAGGAUUAAUGAUUUAUCCCAAAAAUUAAUCCAAUCUUAUACUUAAUCAUAACUCCCAAGCAUAGCGUUGAAGAGUAACUAGGGUAAUCAAAUUAGCUGCCCUAAGACCUUCAUUUGGACGCAACUGACUACAUAGAUACUACGUAGUUGGGAAAUAAAAUAAUCAACUCAAUUGUCGCAGAAGUUAGUUUAAGCAAUUUAUAUCAGAAGAGAACUAAUUGACAUGUCUUUAGGGUUCAUCCUUUCACCUUAAAUUAAAAAUGUUGCUUUCUUUAUUAUUAUUAUUAUUAUUUCAGAAUGCUCAGAGUUCCACAAACGAUUCAGGUCAAUCUUCAAUGCACCAUCAGGAAUAAGACAAUUUCUCUAUGAUGUUUAUAAUCACGAGUUUUUCAUUGAAGAUCAUUUCCUUGGAUUGAAGUCAGGUGCGGACAAGCCCUUCUGUUUUUGUCUUCAUUGUUCUGCUUUGGCUCUCUUCAACUUUUGUGUUGCUGUUUUGAAAGUGUUAUUAUAAAACUUACAUUCCAUGUAAUCGAUUGAGAUUCAAUGGUUCAAUGGUCCUUACCAUUCAAAAGUUCAUGUAUAGUGUCAAAGACUUCUUACCAUGAUGAAGGCCUUUAUGUUUUCCCUUGUCAACUUAAUUUCUGAGCUUUCAUCUUCUGAAAUUGUUAGUAGAAUGUCAAGUAAAUCAUUUGGUGCAUCAAACCUUUAACACCGUUAAAAAAUUGCUGAAUUCUCAAGAGUAUUUUAGCAAUUUCAAAGUAAAAUUAUUUUCUUAAUUAGGUCCUUUAUGAUUUACAAGUUUUUUUUUCCUUUAUUUCAGUUAUUGUAUUAAAUUGGUAACAAUUGAAAUAUUAGGUGGCAAAAUAUGGUUGUCAAAAAACUUUGGUAAUCUAACAUUUAGUCCAUUUACUUGUUUUAUUUUAAUUUAUUUAAUGUUAAAAUUACAUGCAUACAAUGCACAUGACAUUAGUAGGAAUCCAGACUUUUACAGAGUAUGGUAAUAUGGUGUAGAUGAGGGCAUCGGAUUAAAUGUAGUUGCUUCGCUUGCUUACGUGGAGCAAUUAGUUAUCCAGCUCAGCAGCAAAGCUAACGAACUGAAUAACAUGCAUAAUAGUUAUAACAAACUAUUAGUUACUAGAUUCUUCUUCCUUCUAGUAUAAAUAUUAAGCUGUAAUCAUUUGUUGAUAUAAUGGAAAAGAUGAACAAGUUCCUGAUUCUUCCAUCAUCUCUUUCAUCAUAACUUUCUAUCAUUUUCUCGUUUAUUUUCUCUUGUGCCAAACACACAUUACAAAAUCUUUCACAGUCCAAUUCUAGUACCACAACAGAACGUGUGCUUAUGUCUCAUUAGAAAAGUUAGUCUGAGAAAUUUAGAGCAUAAAUGAACUAAGUAGCACAUCAUUAAUCUGAUGCUCUUCAUGAUUACAGAAUGUUCAGACUUUCGAAGAAAAUUCAGGUCAACCAGUGGGGACAUUAUGCUUGCAGCAGUAAAGACCUAUAAAUUUUUGGGAUAACGAAUUCUCAGAGACAGAGGCUCUUAGACUUGGAUUUUGGGAUUUAAGUAAGCUCCAAUCUGAUGCUAAGACUUUUGUGAAAUGGAAACGAUCCGAGUCAAAAGCAAAAUCUUCAGAAGGAAUUGUUAGGAGUAAUGAUUAUUUUACUGUCAAACGUAUUUCAAGAAGCUGUAAUGAAACAACUCAUAGACAUGAACUUUACAAUGAACAUUGUAAAUUAAGCAUCCUCCAUAUAUGGAAAUGGAAAGGAACCCAUCUGUAUAUAUGUCAUACUUCCACGCAUCAUAUAUUCUUAUCUUAAUUCAAAUCUGAAUAUUGUCAAAUUUAGACGUAUGGACGUGUAUAUAUAUCCAAAGUAACCCAUCUGUAUUUUUGUAUGUGUAUUCAAAGUCAUUUACGUAUAUAUAAUUCGAGAGUAGAAUUGAAGAUUUAUAUUAAAACGCAUAGAUACAUUUUAAUUAACAGUUACAUAGAUAUGCAUUUUAAUUAACACCUUAAUGGAUCAAGGCAUGACCGCCUUCGGAAAAGUGAACGAGUUAAUUUCUAUGCAAAUUUUACCUCUAAGCCAUUUGUGAACCAUUAUGUUUUCCACUGAGUUAUCAAAAAAGCAUCGUUUUGCUAAUAAAAUGUUUUCUCUUUUCCUUCAAAAAAAAAAAAAAAAACAAAACAAAAAGAAACACAAAACUAAAAGCAGCUUCCUGAUUUGGCUCUUUCACUAAAAUGUUGAAUUCCCAAGACAAUGUUGAAGUUAACAGCACCUGCCAGACUCUACUUAACAAACACAGAAGCAACAAAACUAAAACCAAAACAUUUUUCUUUUGUUUCCCCACAAACCCGUCUUCAAUUCACAACACAACAACAACAACAAAAUCAGCAACACUUGUUGUCUAUCCUACAAAAGAGCCCAUUAUCAAACAACGUUACCACCCAAAUCCACUCUCACUUACUUACCACUAACUCACUGCUACACCACACACUACUCUUCAACACUCUUCUUCACUUCUACUCGCUCGCUGACUCACCUCAAAAAGCUUUCUUGCUCUACAAACAACUUUAACAAAUUUACGGGCACUCUCACUCUCCAUUGCGCCCUCUCUUUGACAGCUUCACUUACUCUUUCCUUAUAAGGACCUGCGUUACUUUAAGCUAUCCUAACUUAGGUACCCAGCUUCAUGCUGUUAUUUCAAAAGUGGGCUUUCAAUCUCAUGUUUAUGUAAACACCGCCUUAGUUAAUAUGUUUGUCUCUUUAGGGUUUUUGAAGGACGGUUCCAAACUGUUCGAUGAAUUGCCGGAAAGAAAUUUGGUUACGUGGAAUGUUAUGAUCACUGGUUUAGUGAAAUGGGGUGAGCUAGAAUAUGCGCGUUCUCUCUUUGAAGAGAUGCCUUGCAGGAAUGUUGUGUCGUGGACAGGGAUUAUAGAUGGUUACACCAGGAUGAAUCGGUCUAAUGGGGCGUUAGCUUUAUUUCGGAGAAUGGUUGCGUGCGAAUAUACAGAACCUAGUGAGAUAACUAUUUUGGCUGUUUUUCCGGCUAUUUGGCAAAAUGGGGAUGUUAGGAAUUGUCAAUUGAUUCAUGGGUAUGGUGAGAAGAGGGGGUUUAAUGCAUUUCAUAUACAUGUCUCAAAUUGUUUGAUCGAUACUUAUGCAAAAUGUGGGUGCAUAUUUAGUGCCUUAAAACUCUUUGAGGAUAUAUCGGUUGAGAGGAAAAAUUUGGUGUCUUGGACAUCGAUAAUAUCUGGGUUUGCAAUGCACGGGAUGGGGAAAGAAGCAGUAGAAAAUUUUGAGAGGAUGCAGAAAGUUGUUUUGAAACCAAACAGAGUAACAUUCUUGAGUGUUUUGAAUGCUUGUAGUCAUGGAGGAUUGGUCGAGGAGGGGCUCAAGUUUUUUGAUAAGAUGGUUGAGGAGUGUGAAGUUCUGCCAGAUAUAAAGCAUUAUGGGUGUUUAAUAGACAUGUUGGGAAGGGCUGGGAGGUUAGAACAAGCGGAGAAGGUUGCUUCGGGGAUACCGAGUGAGAUUACUAAUGUUGUUGUUUGGAGGACCCUUUUGGGUGCUUGUAGCUUUCACGGUAAUGUGGAGAUGGGUGAGAGGGUGACAAGGAAGAUAUUGGAAAUGGAGAGAGGAUAUGGAGGGGACUAUGUGCUUAUGUAUAACAUCCUUGCUGGGGUCUGGCGGUAUGGAGAUGCCGAGAGGUUGAGGAGAGUCGUGGAUGAGAGGAAUGCCCUCAAAUUUCCUGGCCGUAGUUUGGUCUAGUUAAUGCUGAAGUUGAAUGGUAGCGAUCUGGAUAGAUGGUCCCUUAUUCCUUUACUUAUAUAAAGUUUGUAAAACAAUUUAUCACUGAGCUGAGAUUGCUUUCCUUUUCAAGACCUACAUCGGCAAGGCACCUGAGACGUUGCUAUUGCCAAAGUUCUUUCAGCUUGUGAAAAGCAGCCUCUUUUUUAACUUCAUUGAAGAAGGUAGGCCAUUCCCGUUCUGUACAUUUAGUUUUUGUUUCCUAUUUAACAUUCGGUUCAAACAGCAAAAGAGAGUUGAUCCUUUUGUUUUUUUAUUCAUUUUAUGAUUCUGACAGAGUUGCAAAGUUUUUCAUGUAGCACCCAUUCUGAUGGAGUUACAAUGUUUUUUGUCCUCUUUAUUGUUCAGAUGGAUCGAUUUUUGGUAAAAUUAAUAAACUGUUCUUAUUUUUUCUUUGGCUUUUGCUCUUUUAGCUUUGUUGAAAACGGCAAAGAGAAAUGAUUCAUAGGCUAGCUCUUCAGUUUGUCCGAGCUAGGAUUUCCGAAUUCAAAAGCCAAUACAUAUUUAUUUGCUUUUUAUCAUUGUUUAUCUUAUUUUAUUUUAGUGUUUUGGUAUGUUUGAUUUUCAAUGUGAAAGUCAAUAGCUUACUAGUUAGUUACUACCAAGAAUUUAGGUCCCCGUAGUGGAGGCGUUUCAAAGUUCAAAGCAUUUUGCAUAUUUUAAUUUGACUCCUUUUUCAUACUUUAUCAUUCAACUAGAUAAAUUUACAGAUAGAAUUUUCCAACUGCGAAGAACAGCUAAGUCAUUCCUUUUUGGUUCAUUUCUGGCGGGUAAAGGACUUUUCCAAGUUUCAAAGAUGAAUAAUGAAAAAAAAUUCUUUUACCAGCUAUGUCGACCUUAAAAUAUAGGCCAUGAAAGAUUGACAAGCUCAGAAAACACCAGGACCAAAACCUCAACCUAUUCCUAGAAGCUGAGAAUUUGAAGAAAUGGAGAAAUCUUGGAGAGCUUAGGCAGCUUCCGAGAAGCCAAUGACUGAAAAAUAUUUCGCUGCACUCAGGACGGCCAGGACUAUUAGGUCUCAGCUGAAGAAAGGCGCUGCACCAAUGCAACAAAUAAGCACCUCACUCUCUCAGGCUGCAGAGAAGGAACCCCAAUUUACAGGACCCCCUUUUCUGUUACUAAUGGCUUGGGGGGGGGGGGGAAUCAAAGAAGCUUCCGAUGGAGUUCCAAGGACUGAGGCAGAAAAUGAUGACCAUGUAUAUCUGUUGAGAAAAGGUAAUUUAAUGUGACAGGAGAGAUCUCAAACAAGGAUACAAUUGAGAAAACCAUCUGUUGUGGUGGAGAUUCUGGAUAGGCGUGACACGGACAUAGAGAUUAAGAAAAGAUUGUUGGAGCUGUAUCAAAUUUUCUUGGACAUGACUGUAAAGGUGGACGUCAAGACUUUGAAGCACAACUGGAGAAGCAGCAGCAGCAAGUAGUUUGCUUGGGGAACAUACUUCUGGUGUUGAUCAUUCUUUUGAUGGUUAUCAGUUUUUGAAUUGUAUCGGAAACGAUGCCCAAUCAUACUUUGUAGUUUUCUCUGCUUUGAAAGUCCUUGUAUUAGGACUGGGUUGUGACUAUUCUUCGUCCUUGUAUCUUUUCUCCAAUUCAUUUGAAAUACAUUGUCCUGAUUAUAUAGUCUAAGGAUGAAAAUCUUCUGGGAACCAUAUUGAAUGAGUAAUAAAUUUAGCAUUCAAGUGAUAAUGAACGAAAGAAACAAUGAAUGAAGACUAUGUUGACCGGGAAUGUAAAUGCAGAAAAAUAGCAGAUCUGCUAUUGAAAAAAAUGAUAUCACAUGAGGUCACUCCUUAGAACUUUGAAUAGAGACGAGAAGAGAGAGCUCUGAGAAAGAUUGAUAAAGUAAGCUCCAUUGGACGGAUUGUUAAUUUUCUUCUGUACAUGAAAAGUGUCAACAUUAAUUGCUUUAUGCAUUGCAGAUGACACCAUCUAGCAUCUAAUACCGAAUCCCCAAUAUUACGGCAAAGCCACAAAGAAGCAAAAGUGCACCAUUUCCUCCAGGCAGGAUAGAUGACCUGCAGAAUCCAAACAUGCAAUCGGUUAUAAUCAAGAAAAGAUAGACAUGGAGAAACUACGACCAUUCAAUCAAGUUUGCAUAUAUAUAUAUAUAUAUAUAUAUAUAUAUAUAUAUAUGGUAAUGUUAUUAUUUAAUAUUAUUUACAUACAAUGUUAUUGAUAUAUAAUAUUAUUUGCAUAUAAAUAAUUAAAACUUCAAGAGUAGUAAUGUUUAAUAUUUUGGACUCACUGUGUGUACGUAUAAAAAAUUAUUUGUUAGAUUAUUAAUAAUUCGUUUAUUUUUUAUGUUGGGUUUGUAUCUCAAUAUUUUAACAUGAUUAUUAAUUGAGUCAUAUUUGCAUUAACGUAAAUUUAAUAACAUGACACGGUGACCUAUUACUUUAUUUCUACCUUUUUUUUAUUUUAAGAUACUAUUUUAAAAAUAAAACUAUAAACAUAUUUUUAAAUUUACCAAAAAUCAAUUAUUUCUUACUAUAAAACAUACAAAAUUAACAUAAUUUGAUAAUAAUGAUUGAUUAAUAAGGAUUGAGUCAAUCAAUUUUUGUGUUGAUUUACAAUCAAUAUUUUUUAGUUAAUAUUUAAAAUAGAUACAAUCGAUGAUUUGAUUGAUUGUAUUGACUGAUUGAUUGUUUUUCGCUGUACAAACUUAACUUCUCAAUAUAUAUAUAUAUAUAUAUAUAUUUUUAACACUUAAAUCAAAUUUAGAUCCCUAUGUAAUUUCGGAGGGUAUUGGGAGAGCCGGAGAGGGCUGUACAACUUAAAAUGUCCAUCGUUUCUACACUUAAUUGGCAAGGAUAGAAACCAUUCAAAGAUUGAGGUGUCUUCUUAUCAUGAAUCUGUUGACAAGUGCGGCAGCGUUUGACGAAGAACACGCAGGACUCCUCGUGCUUUCUACCUAUUUAUCAAAUGUUUAAUGAAUGAUUAAUGCUCGAAAGACAUCGAGGCCCUACCACAGUGUCGAUGCCACCACUGUGUCACGGGGUGAUAGUUUUGCGUAGCAAGUUCCCGUGCGGCACUUGAGCGACCUUAGCGUGUGAGUCGCCAAGUAAGUCUAGAUUACUCCCUAAACAAGCCAAACACGCAUACUUGGAGAAAAUGUUAAGGGAAGUAAGAGUGGAAUGGCCAAAGAUGAUUGUAUUGCAUUUUGAAUAAUUACAAGAGUGUUUGUACAAGAGAGCUUGAGAGCUAGUGUGCUAGGUGUGUUGUGUGGGUGUGUUGGUGGUUGUGACAAUGAGGGUUGCUCACCCAUAUUUAUAGGGGGUGGAAUGCCUAAUUCUAGAGAAUUCUAUUACAAGUGGCAAAACACUAAGGGACCCAAGUGGUGAGUCCUAGAAAGUUCUAGUGAAUGGAUAAUAUGUAGAGAGUUCAAGACCUUUGGGCCUUGGUGGACUUUGGGCCUUGGUGGAGGUUUUACUAAGUGCACCCCAGCUAGUUAGUUGUCUUGGUGGCUCAAUUUCUAAGUUAACCCCCACAUCUAAGUGUAUCCGCUUGAGUGCCAAGCGAGCCCGUGACGACUGGCUUUUAACAUUGCUCCAUCUUUCAUUUUCACGUUUACUUUUCAAAAGAGGAAAGCAGAUUAAAUUCAAGGAAACUUGGCCAAAGACAUUAGAUCAAACGAUUUGAAUCCUCCCCCGACUUAAUUUUUCCAAAGAGAUUUUGACACAUGACAUUUAAGAAAUUUUAAGGUCAGAAUUUAAUUUAUUUACAAUUUUCCUUAUUUGACACAACAAAAAAUGAUAUUUUUAAGACUGAUAGAAAUUGCAAACUAACAGAAAUUAAUUUCAUGUCAGUGUCUUCUUUCUCCUCUUUCAUUCAUGCAAUAAUCUUAAAAAAGAAUAAUAAAAAAAGGUUUUAGAAAAAAACUAGGAUAAUUUUUAUCUCUUUCUUUAGUGAUUUUUUUUUUCUUUUUACAAUCAUCUUGGUAUCUUAAAUAAAUUAGAGUGAAAUCAAAUUUUAAAUUAUCUCUCUCCUCGUUUUUUUAUAAAUAAACUUUGAGAAUUAGAAAACUAGAACAGAGAUGCAAAGAUUUCAAUUCAAAAUGGUUAUAUUAUAUCUGUUUCUUUGAUCUUAAAGGUACGGAGGCCAAACAAAGAAUGGAAAAGGGAGAAGCAGUUUAAUUUUUUUUUUUAAAAAGAAUAAGAAUAAUAAUCUAAUGCUGGCAUUAGAUAAUUUAAAAAAAUUCCAUAUGCCUGAAGACGAAGUACAAUUUUUAUGCAAGUUUGAGAAGCGACAAAUUAAGAAGCCGAAAAAGAAGUUUAAACUUCUGUUAGUGUUCAAUUUCAAUUAACCUAAAAAUGUUAGAUUUUGGUGUUUAAAUAGGAAAAUUGUAAACAAUAUAAUCUUAGCCUUAUGAUUUUUUAAAUGCUAGGUGUUCAAAUCUUUUAUAAAGAUUAGGAAUAAUUAGAUUAGGAGAGAAUUUAAAUCCUAGAUCAAAAGAUGUAAUUUUUUUUUUUAAACUAAAGGGGAGCAUAUAAACUUAUGAUAGUCAGUCAUUCAUACGUUUUGCAAAUCAAUUAUGAUUGUCUCUCAAUUCUUUUAAGUUUUUAAAGAAAUAAUAUUAGAUAAUCUAAUAUCUAAAUCUCAAUUUAAAUCCUCACUAAUGUAACAUUUAUUUAUUAGAUGGUAAUUAAAUAAUUUUAUAACUCAUGAAAUUUAUUAUAUUAGGACUCAAGUAUUAAAAUUCAUUUUAAAGAUCUUGUGUUAUUUAUCUUUUAAUGUUAGUAUAUAAUUAAGAUUUAACUAUUUAUACUUUUUUGAUGACCGCCAAUCAAAUAGACUUUACUGAGGAGUAAAUCAUGAGAAAUUGAGCCCCCACUGUAGGACUUGAAAUUCUCGCCCUAGAGCCUGAGUUCGCCACUGAUGCCAUUAAGCCCUGUGACACAUAUUAUUAUCUAAGUUUUGAAAAAAUAAUGCACGUACAAAAUUAGAGAUAUGAAUUAAUUGUUUUCAAAUUUUCUAGUCUUUUGUCUCUAUUUUUGCCCUCCAUAUUUUACACGUCCGUAUCAUUCAUUAAUCCCAAGUUUAUAUGUUCAAAAUCUUGUAUAGUCUAAUUGUUAUUACUUUUCAAUACUUAUUUUACAUUUUGUAAAAACAGAUAAUAAAAGAAGGAGCUGGCUAAGUUACAGAUUCUGUAACAUACAGAUCCAACUUAGCCAGCUCCUGAUUGGUUAGCUAGCUACCAAACAAAAACAAUUGCAUGCUUUUUCUCCAUACGCAGCACAGGUGUGGUGCAUGCAUUGGGUGCGUAUGUUACAGAAUCUGUAAGGUAGACAGGUCCAUAAAAGAAACGUGUUUGGUCGUCGUCGGCAAUACGGCAUCAUACAAAUGGUGUUCACUUUAUAUCUCACUGUGCACGAGACCCACCAAUCAUUUCACAACAUUUAUUGGUUGCUGACAAUGUAUCCCGUACCUUUGGUUGUUGCGAGUUCGCCUAUUCAAAUACUAUGUACCACUCAGUCUUUACAUUUUUUUUAUAAUAUUCAAUAAUUUUUUUAUAUUAUAAUUUUAUAAUAUUAUUCUUAUUUUUAAAUAUAUUUUUAUUUAUAUUUAUUAUAAAAUUUAUUAAUUACAUAAAUAAAAAUUUAAAUUUAAAUUUAAAUCGUAAAAAUAACAUAAUAUUAAUAAUCAAUUUUUUUUUGUAUUUUUUGUUGUUUUUAUAAACUUUUUUUCUCAUGAUAAAUGUUUAUUUUAUAUUCCUAACAAUCUAAUAUCAAAUAAGUGCCUGUUUGGUAUGGUUUAUUUAAGAGUCAUAAAUGGUGCUUAUUUAAUCGUAUAAGCACUUUUUAAAAUUUUUGUAUUGGGGGAGUUGUUAAAUAUUAUUAAAACAAUAAAAAAUCAAGUAGUAUAUAUUUAUUUGAGUAGAGAGACCCUAUCAAUCUUCAUUUUAUGUGCAAAUAAUAUAAUGUAUAAAAAUGAUUCCUGGGGCUAUAUUUUUUUAUUAAAAUUAUAUAAGUACAACUGUUUUUCGCCUUUACAUUAUCUUUUAUAUUUCUACCUUUUUUUUUUUAUUUUCAGAUACUCCUUUAAAAAUAAAACUACUAAACAUAUUUCUGAAUUGACCAGAAAUUAAUUACUUCUUGGCAAUAAAACAAACACUAAAAACACCAUUCUAAAAAACAAUAGAAAAGGCAUCCGAAUUUUUGAGUGAAUCUUCACGUUGACUUGAGUCGUCUCUUAGACUUGGAUGAACCAUGAUGUACGAUUGAAUGAUGUCAAUCACUUUAUUAAAGUCUAGCAAACACUUUGUACCAAAACCUCAACCACUGGUCAAAGUUGUAAUUGGGCAAGUAAACAUUGACUAUUGAUAGAAACCAUUUAGUUGUUGGAUUAUUUUCAGUAUCCAAAGAGAUGAUAUCGUGGCUAGCUACCAAGUUCCAGUGAUACUUUAAGCUCUAAAGGCAUAAAUUUUUAUCAAGCAUUACUGAAAUACUAAAGAUGCCAUUUUGACAGGGUUAACAAAAAAACUGUACCAAAUUGCUUACCCUGCAGGAAAAAUUACAGGAAAAUUCAUUGGAAAAGGGAAUGCAGAUUCAAGAAGGAUCAGUACUUCACAUUAACUUUGAUCAUCAUAUUUCAACGAUCAUAGAUAAGCUGUAGUUUUGUUAUUCAGCUUUGCUCCCUUUUUUCCGACCAGCUCUUUGCAAUUUUACUUGAUCAAAAAUCCCAAUUCUCAUUUCAAUCUUCUGUUAAUCUUCUUAAUCUCAAGAUGAAAGUCGAGGAGUUGAAGGGUGAAAUUAAGCGAGAGAAUUCAGCACCGGGUUGAUGAAUGAUGAGGCUAAAACAGACACCGUGUGCCCUUUACCAAUGCAUGCAUCUUUUGUUUCUUGAGCAUGUGUGAUAGCUUCGUCCUUGUGAAAAAUUGAAAAUUGAUUAAAUAAUAACCACCCAGAUAAAAUGUAAGUAGGAAAGAAAGAAAGUAAUAAAAUAGAAUAACUUCUUCUGGAAGUCCAAACUUUUUGUUAAGAUUCAAAUCAUGAAUUAUAAUUUAUUGACAACGCUAUUUUAUAGCAUUUUGUUGUGUUAGGUUCUAAUUAAAUUUACUGAUCAACCAUGUCUUUAAAAAAAUAAAUCAAUCUUUGCUUAACCCCUGCUUUCUUUACUGUUUGUACUGCUGUCGUAAGUUCGUAAACAGCUCUUAACAAACUCUUCAAGAAACUUUUAAAAAUAAGAUAAAGAAUAUAAAUUUCAUUUUUAUUAAUUCAUAAGCCCGAAGGCUCAUACAAGUACUCGAAACAUGAAAAAAAAAAAUGAUACAAUUAACGUAGUUUAGGAAUAAUGAUUGGUUGAUAAAAAUUGAGUCAAUCAAUAUUGAUAUCGAUUUUAGUCAAUCUUUCUUAAUUAAUAAUUUAUAUUGAUUGCUUUGUUUCCAUCAAUGUUGUGUGAUUCUAAUCUAUCCUCCCCCAAGAUGUCAUAAACAUUUUUUGAACUCUUAGCUUGCUUUGAAAAUUGUAAAUUCUUGAUUUUUAUUUACAGUUCUCAUCCUAAUGUCAUGCAACAAAUCAUGAAGCAUUCCUUUAAAGCUUGAUUAGGAAAUUUUCUAAUUGAUUUCAUGUGCACAUUUCUUUUAAGAUCGUAAAAAUCAUAAGCAAUAGAUUCCUUUGAUCAAGAAAUUCUUUCAGUAUGAAAGUUGUUCCUUUGAUUUUUUUUUUCAAAGAAAUCUUCACUCCUUUGAUCUUACCAUAGAAUUCUUUCAUUUACAAAGCUAUUCCAUUAAUCUUGUCAAGGAAAAUAUCAAUAUCAAUAAUUCCUUUUCGUUCUCUUUUUCUUUUGGUAUCAUUUCCUUUGUGGUGGCUGAAGUGGUGGUUGAUGGUCCGGCGGUUGUUGUUGUUGUUAUUAUUAUUAUUAUUAUUAUGGUGAAGAAAUUGUAGAACAACUAGAACGGUAUUCACAUUUCUCUGCUCUAAACCACCAUGAUCAAGAAACUCAUCAUUAAUAUUGUGGGGAAGCCUAAAUCCAUGAACUUUAGGACUCUGAAACUCGUAUCGACAUCAUGAAAAUUUUAAAAAAUAAUGUAAAGAACAUAAAAUUUACUUUUAUUAAUUUAUAACCACAAAGGCUCGCUCCUCAAUUUAUACAAGAAUUUGAAAUAUGAAAAAUAAAAACAAUACAACUAACAUAAUUUAAAAAUAAUGAUUGAUUUGUAAGAUUGAAUGAAUUAAUCUUUAUGUUGAUUUACAAUUAAUUUUUUGUAAUCAAUAAUUAAGAUGGAGAAAAUCAUUCAUUUGAUUGAUUUUAUUAAUUAUUUUGUUUUCAUCAAUAUCAUUUGGUUCUUAUUAGUCUCAUGGUAGGUACAAUUGAAGUUGUUUUUAUUACACAAACUUAACUUUAUAUUUUUUUUUCAACACUUAAAUCAAAUUUAGAUUUCUAAGUAAUUUCGGAGGAUAUUGGGAGAGGGCUAUAGAACUUAACUUAAAUAUCUAAAUUUUCUAUAUUUGUUUGGCAAAGAUACAAACCAUCCAUAGCUUUUGAGGUCCUCUAAUCAUGAAUCUGUUGAAAACAGUGGCAACGUUUGGGCAAGUAAAAUGCAGGCAGUAGCAGCUCGACCUUUAGGCAACUUAGGCGGUUGCCUAAGGCCUCGUUUUACAUAAAAGCCCCACGAGAUGAUUAUUUUAUAUAUUAAAGGAGAAAAUGAAUUUAAAAGUCAUUAUUAUUCAUUUGCUUUAUUAUUAUUUUGUAAUUAUCGUUUCCUAAAUAAACUAUUAAAUUUCUAUAAAGUUUAUUUAAUAUAGUACUUAAUAGUUUUAAUUUCUACAAAAAUGAUAAAUUAAUAGUUUCAAUCUUACAAAUUCUCUAUUUCAUUGUUAGAAUUAAUAUGUUAUAUUUCAAAAGUUAGCAGUUUUAAUUUCUACAAAACCGAUAAAUUAAUAGUUUCAAUCCUACAAAUUCUCUAUUUCAUUGUUAGAAUUAAUAUGUUAUAUUUCAAAAGUUUUAUAUUCAUUUUAAACCUCUAUAAAAGCCUCACAUUUUAUUACUUAUCCAUUAAAUUUUUCCUCCAACAAUCAAGACAUAAUAUGUUCUUGGUGUUUGAGAGAAAGAAAGAGAGAGAGAGGGAAAAAAAAUCCUACUACCUCUACUUUUCACCCAAGAAUAAAAAAAAAAAUCUAAUAGUUCUUUCUAUUCUUUAUGGCUAUUGAUCAUUACUCAAAUCUUCAAACAAUUAAUAUAAACAUAAGUUAAUUUAUGAUUUCAUCUCAAAUUUCAGAUUUUAUCUUUUUAUUAUUCUCCUAAUUAAUUGUGUUAUUUAUUUGUUCUUAUUUUUUAAAUAUAUUCUUUUAUUCAUCUAAUUUUUUGUGUGUGCUUGUUUUAUCUAUUUUGAAAUAAAACUAUAUCAAAAAACUUUAGAGAAUAGAAAAAUAGAAAAAUUAGUUUAAUUUAGAAAAGCAGUUGUAAAAAAAAGAUAUAAUUUGAGUUUAAAAAAUAAUAAGUGAAAAUGUUAUAAUUAAAUUAAAAUUUCAUGGAUUAACAACAGUAAAAUAAAAUAUUAUUAAUAAUUUUAUAUUUUAGAGUGUUUAAAGAAUUAAUUUUUAAUAAAUAAUAAAUAACAUAUAACUUUUAUAUAUAUAUAUAUAUAUAUUAUUAAAUUUUAAAAAGAACUAAUUAAAAUUAUUUGCAUAAUACUUCAAAUAUGACUGAACCGCCCUACAUGCAGGAAUGUUCGUGCUCGGCAAAUGCGAGAGGUGCGGCUACCUAUCAAAUAUUUGAAAUUUGAUGAUUUAAGGUCCCACAACAAUGUCGGUGCCCCGACGGGAUUUAACAGCGUUGGUGCUAUCUUUCAUUUUCAAUUUUUUUUUUCUUUUAAAGGAAAAGGAUUGGGUUUUUGUUAAAAAAAUAAUUAUUAUUAUGAUAAGAGAGUAAUUAAUUAAAAAAUUUGAUGAUAUUUAUUUUAUGUAUAAAUAAUAUAAUAUAUAAUAAUUAUUACUGGGAUUAUAUUUUUUUUAUUAAAGAAUAAAUAAUUAAAAUUAUUCUAAAAAUAAAACAAUUAAACAUAUUUCUAAGUUUACCAAAAAUUAAUUAUUUCUUUACUAUAAAACAAACACGAAAACACCAUUUUAAAAAACAACAGAAAAAAGGCAUCCGAAAUUUGUGAGGGAAUCUUGACGUUGACCUCAGUCGUCUCUUAGACUUUUGGAUGAAACAUGAUGUAUGAUUGAAUGAUCUCAGUCUUCAUCAUCUCAAGUUCUCUGAAGCCACCAUCUCAGGUUACCCUUGUCUUGUUUUCGGCUUUUUGAUCUCAAGGGCACCUUAAUAGUCCAUCCCGUGAGUCGCAACUGUUGUUUGAAAUUUGCGUUUCUGUCCAUCCUUAAUUUCUUCCUCCCAGAUCACAUCUUAUUUUGCCAUCUGAUUCUAUCCACCCUUUUCAUUGUUGUCGUUGGUGUUUUGUAUUUCAUCUUCAUGUCCCUUUCCCUCUCUCAUUUCUCUGUACCGUAUCCACUUAUCAUUGUAGUUUCCCGCUGAUUUUCUCCACUCUCUUUGUUCAUAUUGGAUAAAAUACCUCCACUUAUAUUCAACUUUUGAUCUCACAACCACUUUGCUUUUGUUGCUGUUAGCUGUUUUGACCUGGUGUUCUGUUCUGUACAUUUGCUACUCUGUUUUAUUUCCCUUUGGUUUCCUUUGCAUCCGUUUCUCAAAACUUUAAAAGGAAAAAAAAAGUUGAAAAUGGUUGAUGCUGUUGUUACCGUUGCUUUGGAAGUUGCCAAGUGCUUGUUCCCUCCGAUCGGGCGCCAGUUAAGUUAUGUGCGUAAGUACAAAGCCAACCUUGAGAAUCUCAACAAAGAAACUGAGAAGUUGACCGAUGCAAGAGAUAGUAUCCAGAAAAAGGUUGAUGAUGCGAGAAGGAACGGGGAUUUGAUUGACAAAAGAGUUGAGAGUUGGCUGAUUGGUGUCGACAAGAUCAUUGCUGAGGCGGACACGUUAACUGGAGAAGAAGAAAAUGCAUAUAAGAGAUGUUUCAAGGGGCUCUGUCCUAAUCUUAAGAAACGCUAUCAACUUAGCCAGAAAGCGGCCACAAAGGAGAAGAGCAUCGCGGAGCUCAGGGAAGAAGCUGAGAAAUUUGCUCAAAUUUCCUGCCCUACUGUUCCAGAAGAGCCUUGGCUGAGGUCUGGCAAAGGUUAUGAGGCCUUUGAAUCAAGAAUAUCGACUUUACAGAAUGUGCAAAAAGCAUUACUUGAUCCUGAUAUCAGCAUCAUUGGGGUGUAUGGGAUGGGGGGCGUUGGGAAGACGACCCUCGUGAAGGAAGCGGCUAGGCGAGCCAAAAAAGACAAGCUAUUUGACAAGGUAGUUUUUGCAGAAGUAUCUGAGACUCCAGAUAUCAGAAAGGUUCAAGAGGAACUUGCGGAUCAGCUAGGUAUGAAAUUUGAUGAGGAGAGUGAUGUACCCGGAAGAGCUAGGAGGCUAUAUGCAAGGUUGCAGAACGAGAACAAGAUCCUCGCAAUUUUAGACAACAUUUGGGAAGAACUUGAUCUGGAAAAAGUAGGAGUUCCUUCUGGAAAUGAUUGUAGGGGGUGUAAAGUCUUGCUGACAGCAAGAGAUCGUCAUGUGUUGGAGAGUAUUGGGUCCAAGACUUUAGGGAUUGAUGUUUUGAGUGACGAAGAAGCGUGGACUCUAUUCAAGAAGAUGGUGGGAGACUGUGCUGAAAAUGGCGAAUUAAAAUCUAUAGCAACUGAUGUGGCUAAAGAAUGUGGAGGUUUGCCCAUUGCCAUCGUUACACUGGCAAAAUCAUUAAGAAACAAGAGUAGUGUCUCUACAUGGAAAGAUGCCUUAAGGCAAUUGAGAAGUCCUUCCCCUUGGAACUUUAAAGGAGUGCUAGCGAAGCCAUAUUCAGCUAUAGAAUUGAGUUACAACUAUUUAAGAGAGGAGGAGCUCCAGCAACUAUUUUUGCAGUGUAGUCUGAUGGGAUCCCCACAGGCUUCCAUGCAAGACUUGUUGAAAUAUGCAAUAGGUUUGGGUAUAUUGAAAGGCGUCAGUACAGUGGAAGAAGCACGAGAUAAAGUAAAUACGUUGGUCGAUCAACUCAAAGAUGCUAGUUUGUUGCUUGACGGCACUAACAGCUAUUGGUUUUCCAUGCAUGACGUUGUUCGUGAUGUUGCCAUAUCAAUUGCAUCUAGAGACUAUCAUGUAUUUACAAUGAGAAACGAAGGUGAUCCGAGGCAGUGGCCAGAUAAGAAGUGCUCAAGAAUAUCAUUAUAUGACAAUACUAUUAGUGAAAUUCCUCAAGGGUGGGAAUGCCCUCAGCUUGAGUUUUUCUACAUUUUUGCCCCCAAUAAUUCUCCUCUCAAAAUCCCCGACAACAUUUUCAUCGGGAUGCCGAAGCUCAAAGUUUUAGAUUUUACUAGAAUGAGGUUACUGUCACUACCGUCGUCGAUUCAUCUCCUAACAGACCUUCGAACAUUGUGUCUGGAUGGUUGCCAAUUGGAAGACAUUAGAGUUAUUGGAGAGCUGAGAAAGCUAGAAAUUCUUAGCUUGCAGGCUUCUGUAAUUGAGCAAUUGCCUAUGGAGAUAGGCCAAUUGACUCAGCUAAAGUUGUUAGAUUUGAGCUAUUGUUCCAAAUUAAAAGUGAUUGCACCAAAUGUUCUAUCAAACUUAUCUCAACUGGAAGAAUUGUAUAUGGCUCGUUGCUAUAUCAAAUGGGAGCAUCUAGGACUCAGCAUUGAGAGAAGUAAUGCCAGCCUCGUUGAAUUGAAGAAUUUAUCUCGUUUGACUACUUUAGAGAUAAAUAUUCUUGAUGCAGGGAUUCUACCGAGUGGCUUCUUCUCAAGAAAGCUGGAGAGGUAUAGAAUUGUCGUGGGGAGUGAGUGGGACCGGUUUGAUAAAUAUAAGACUCGGAGAACUUUGAAACUCAAGCUCAACUCUCGCACUUGCUUGGAGGAGUGGCGGGGCAUGAAGAACGUGGAAUACUUAUGUUUAGAGGAAUUGCCGGGUUUGACGAAUGUUCUUCAUGAUUUGGAUGGGGAGGGUUUUGCAGAGCUGAAACAUCUCAAUAUCCGAAAUAAUCCCAAUUUUUUACGUAUAGUUGAUCCGCUACAGGUACGUUGCGGUGCCUUCCGAAUGUUAGAGUCUCUGGUUCUUAAGAAUUUGAUUAAUUUGGAGACAAUAUGUCAUGGUCACCUCCAAGCAGAAUCUUUCUGCAAUUUGAAAACCAUAAAAGUGGAAAGUUGUCAUAAAUUGAAAAAUUUGUUCUCAUUCUCCACUGCCAAAUUCCUUCCCCAACUUGGAACAAUUGAAGUGACUGGGUGCAAUAAUGUAGAAGAGAUUUUUGUUUCUAGCAAUGAAGAGGCAAUCGGUGAGAUUGCAUUGGAGCAAGUACGGUUCUUGAUUCUUAGAACUCUUCCAUUGUUCACAAGCUUCUCCGCCUUUGUCAAGACAACUUCUACUGUGGAAGCAAAGCACAAUGAAAUCAUUUUGGAGAACGAGAACCAUAUUUACACUCAUCCGUCACUUUUCAAUGAAAAGGUAAGUGAACAAACCUUAUUAUCUUAUUUUAUUAGUACUACUGCUAUCACAAGAACUCAUAUUGAAACAACUGUGUGUGCAGCUUGUGCUUCCUAACUUGGAGGUCUUGGAAGUCCGGGAUAUUAAUGUUGCAAAGAUAUGGCACAACCAAAUUUCAGCAGUGAUGUCUUGUAACGUUCAAAAUUUAACAAGCUUGGUCGUGGAGGACUGCUGCAAAUUAAGAUACGUGUUUUCAUAUUCUACAGCUAAAAGACUUGGGCAGCUUCAACACCUAGUGAUAUCCAGGUGCCCACUUCUGGAGGAAAUUGUUGGCAAGGAAGGUGGAGUGGAAGCGAAUCCUUCUUUUGUCUUUCCACGGUUAACAAUCCUGAAACUCAGCUCACUACCAGAGUUUAGAGCUUUCUAUCCUGGAAUACACACUUUGGAAUGUCCCAUUUUAACUAGGUUGGAAGUGUCUCUUUGUGACAAACUAGAAAGUUUCUCUUCAGAAUCGUAUAGCCUCCACGAAAAUAAUGAGGGCCAACUUAUUGAAGUGCCAGUGCCAGCGCCAGCGCAACAGCCCCUGUUCUUGGUUGAAAAGGUACGAGUCUUUUUUCUAUAAUAUAUGCUUUGUUUAUUUCAACAUUUAUUUUAUUUUAGUGAUAAUAAUCAUAAUUAUAUUCUUCUUUGGAAUUUUUUGAAUGAACAUCAACUCCAACUUGUUUAUGUUUGAUUGGUCAUCAGGUCUUACCCAAUUUGGAGGAAUUGAGAUUAAGCAAGAACAAGGAUAUCGCAAAGA
rnacentral:lncRNA from 1 species